GGGCCCGCACAAGCGGAGGAGCAUGUGGUUUAAUUCGAUGAUACGCGAGGAACCUUACCAGGGCUUAAAUGGGAGACGACAGUUUGGGAAACCAGAUUUUCUUCGGACGUCUUUCAAGGUGCUGCAUGGUUGUCGUCAGCUCGUGCCGUGAGGUGUCAGGUUAAGUCCUAUAACGAGCGCAACCCCUAUUGUUAGUUGCCAGCGGGUCAUGCCGGGAACUCUAACAAGACUGCCGGUGCAAACCGUGAGGAAGGUGGGGAUGACGUCAAAUCAUCACGGCCCUUACGUCCUGGGCUACACACGUGCUACAAUGGGCGGUACAGAGAGCAGCCACCACGCAAGUGGGCGCGAAUCUUCAAAACCGUUCUCAGUUCGGAUCGGAGUCUGCAACUCGACUCCGUGAAGCUGGAUUCGCUAGUAAUCGCAUAUCAGCCAUGAUGCGGUGAAUACGUUCCCGGGCCUU
rnacentral:rRNA from 1 species